UAGGGAAUCUUCGGCAAUGGGGGCAACCCUGACCGAGCAACGCCGCGUGAGUGAAGAAGGUUUUCGGAUCGUAAAGCUCUGUUGUAAGUCAAGAACGAGUGUGAGAGUGGAAAGUUCACACUGUGACGGUAGCUUACCAGAAAGGGACGGCUAACUACGUGCCAGCAGCCGCGGUAAUACGUAGGUCCCGAGCGUUGUCCGGAUUUAUUGGGCGUAAAGCGAGCGCAGGCGGUUUGAUAAGUCUGAAGUUAAAGGCUGUGGCUCAACCAUAGUUCGCUUUGGAAACUGUCAAACUUGAGUGCAGAAGGGGAGAGUGGAAUUCCAUGUGUAGCGGUGAAAUGCGUAGAUAUAUGGAGGAACACCGGUGGCGAAAGCGGCUCUCUGGUCUGUAACUGACGCUGAGGCUCGAAAGCGUGGGGAGCGAACAGGAUUAGAUACCCUGGUAGUCCACGCCGUAAACGAUGAGUGCUAGGUGUUGGAUCCUUUCCGGGAUUCAGUGCCGCAGCUAACGCAUUAAGCACUCCGCCUGGGGAGUACGACCGCAAGGUUGA
rnacentral:rRNA from 1 species